rnacentral:rRNA from 1 species
CUGGAGGUAUCAGAAGUGCGAAUGCUGACAUAAGUAACGAUAAAGCGGGUGAAAAGCCCGCUCGCCGGAAGACCAAGGGUUCCUGUCCAACGUUAAUCGGGGCAGGGUGAGUCGACCCCUAAGGCGAGGCCGAAAGGCGUAGUCGAUGGGAAACGGGUUAAUAUUCCCGUACUUGGUGUUACUGCGAAGGGGGGACGGAGAAGGCUAUGUUGGCCGGGCGACGGUUGUCCCGGUUUAAGCGUGUAGGUGUGUGUUCCAGGUAAAUCCGGUUCACUUUAACACUGAGGCGUGAUGACGAGGCACUACGGUGCUGAAGCAACAAAUGCCCUGCUUCCAGGAAAAGCCUCUAAGCAUCAGGUAACAUCAAAUCGUACCCCAAACCGACACAGGUGGUCAGGUAGAGAAUACCAAGGCGCUUGAGAGAACUCGGGUGAAGGAACUAGGCAAAAUGGUGCCGUAACUUCGGGAGAAGGCACGCUGACACGUAGGUGAAGUGAUUUACUCAUGGAGCUGAAGUCAGUCGAAGAUACCAGCUGGCUGCAACUGUUUAUUAAAAACACAGCACUGUGCAAACACGAAAGUGGACGUAUACGGUGUGACGCCUGCCCGGUGCCGGAAGGUUAAUUGAUGGGGUCAGCGCAAGCGAAGCUCCUGAUCGAAGCCCCGGUAAACGGCGGCCGUAACUAUAACGGUCCUAAGGUAGCGAAAUUCCUUGUCGGGUAAGUUCCGACCUGCACGAAUGGCGUAAUGAUGGCCAGGCUGUCUCCACCCGAGACUCAGUGAAAUUGAACUCGCUGUGAAGAUGCAGUGUACCCGCGGCAAGACGGAAAGACCCCGUGAACCUUUACUAUAGCUUGACACUGAACAUUGAGCCUUGAUGUGUAGGAUAGGUGGGAGGCUUUGAAGUGUGGACGCCAGUCUGCAUGGAGCCGGCCUUGAAAUACCACCCUUUAAUGUUUGAUGUUCUAACGUGGACCCGUGAUCCGGGUUGCGGACAGUGUCUGGUGGGUAGUUUGACUGGGGCGGUCUCCUCCUAAAGAGUAACGGAGGAGCACGAAGGUUGGCUAAUCCUGGUCGGACAUCAGGAGGUUAGUGCAAUGGCAUAAGCCAGCUUGACUGCGAGCGUGACGGCGCGAGCAGGUGCGAAAGCAGGUCAUAGUGAUCCGGUGGUUCUGAAUGGAAGGGCCAUCGCUCAACGGAUAAAAGGUACUCCGGGGAUAACAGGCUGAUACCGCCCAAGAGUUCAUAUCGACGGCGGUGUUUGGCACCUCGAUGUCGGCUCAUCACAUCCUGGGGCUGAAGUAGGUCCCAAGGGUAUGGCUGUUCGCCAUUUAAAGUGGUACGCGAGCUGGGUUUAGAACGUCGUGAGACAGUUCGGUCCCUAUCUGCCGUGGGCGCUGGAGAACUGAGGGGGGCUGCUCCUAGUACGAGAGGACCGGAGUGGACGCAUCACUGGUGUUCGGGUUGUCAUGCCAAUGGCACUGCCCGGUAGCUAAAUGCGGAAGAGAUAAGUGCUGAAAGCAUCUAAGCACGAAACUUGCCCCGAGAUGAGUUCUCCCUGAGACUUAG